AGAGUUUGAUCCUGGCUCAGAACGAACGCUGGCGGCAGGCUUAACACAUGCAAGUCGAGCGCCCCGCAAGGGGAGCGGCAGACGGGUGAGUAACGCGUGGGAAUCUACCCAACUCUACGGAAUAACUCAGGGAAACUUGUGCUAAUACCGUAUACGCCCUUCGGGGGAAAGAUUUAUCGGAGUUGGAUGAGCCCGCGUUGGAUUAGCUAGUUGGUGGGGUAAAGGCCUACCAAGGCGACGAUCCAUAGCUGGUCUGAGAGGAUGAUCAGCCACAUUGGGACUGAGACACGGCCCAAACUCCUACGGGAGGCAGCAGUGGGGAAUAUUGGACAAUGGGCGCAAGCCUGAUCCAGCCAUGCCGCGUGUGUGAUGAAGGCCUUAGGGUUGUAAAGCACUUUCACCGGAGAAGAUAAUGACG
rnacentral:rRNA from 1 species